GUGGCUCGGUUGUCAGAAAAACAGAUGCAGAUCCGCCGCCUGGAGGAGCAGAUCUGCCAGAUCCCAGGCCAGACGAGUGUCAGAACACAGAACAUGAGCAGCUGCUGGACAUCAAGCCCCGCUGGAGAGGGAGAUGGAGACCUACCGCCCCCAGCACAAUGGAGAGGCAGGUUUCAAAUAAAAGCAGAGGAACCAGGACAAUGGCAGAUAAUGGUCAACUGAUUUCAUCUCAAGUCAACAAUGUUUCUGAUGUAAAAUUCAAAUAACAAGAAGAUGCACUCAUCUGUGCUCUAUCCCCAAGAAGUAAAAGAUGAAUCUAAUAAAUAAGUAGAACAAUCCAAUGAACCUGAGGAGACAGAGCUUCAGCUACUGCUGUAAUAGUUUCUGGUAUUCUUUUGUCUUCACUGGUUUGGUUUUGUCUUAAAAAUGUAAAAUCUGCUUUACUUCUUAAUCACUCUUCAUUACUAAACUUUCCACCUAUGCAAAUCUGUUACAUCAGUCUGUGUUAUUUUGUUCCACACUGACUUUUU
rnacentral:lncRNA from 1 species